GGAGUUAGCCGGUGCUUCUUCUGCGAGUAACGUCACAGAUGUAAGGUAUUAACUUACACCCUUUCCUCCUCGCUGAAAGUGCUUUACAACCCGAAGGCCUUCUUCACACACGCGGCAUGGCUGCAUCAGGGUUUCCCCCAUUGUGCAAUAUUCCCCACUGCUGCCUCCCGUAGGAGUCUGGGCCGUGUCUCAGUCCCAGUGUGGCUGAUCAUCCUCUCAGACCAGCUAGGGAUCGUCGCCUAGGUGAGCCUUUACCUCACCUACUAGCUAAUCCCACCUGGGCUUAUCCAUCAGCGCAAGGCCCGAAGGUCCCCUGCUUUCCCCCGUAGGGCGUAUGCGGUAUUAGCAGUCGUUUCCAACUGUUAUCCCCCACAAAUGGGCAAAUUCCCAGGCAUUACUCACCCGUCCGCCGCUCGUCAUCUUCAAAAGCAAGCUUUUAGAAAUGUUACCGCUCGACUUGCAUGUGUUAGGCCUGCCGCCAGCGUUCAAUCUGAACCAUAAUCAAACUCUGA
rnacentral:rRNA from 1 species